rnacentral:rRNA from 1 species
CCCUUAGAUGUCCUGGGCCACACGCGCGUUACACUGAUGCAUUCAACGAGCUUAUAACCUUGGCCGAGAGGCCUGGGCAAUCUUGUUAACGUGCAUCGUGAUAGGGAUAGAUUAUUGAAAUUAUUAAUCUUGAACGAGGAAUUCCUAGUAAACGCAGAUCAUCAAUCUGCAUUGAUUACGUCCCUGCCCUUUGUACACACCGCCCGUCGCACCUACCGAUUGGAUGGUCCGGUGAAGCCUCGGGAUUGUGGUUCUUGCCGCUUUAUUGUGGCGUGACCGCGAGAACUUGUCUAAACCUUAUCAUCUAGAGGAAGGUGAAGUCGUAACA